AUACGGAGGGUGCAAGCGUUGUUCGGAAUUAUUGGGCGUAAAGGGCGCGUAGGCGGUUAUGUAAGUCAGAUGUGAAAUACUUCGGCUCAACUGAAGAACUGCAUUUGAUACUAUAUAGCUAGAGUACAGAAGAGGGAAAUGGAAUUCCCGGUGUAGAGGUGAAAUUCGUAGAUAUCGGGAGGAACACCAGUGGCGAAGGCGAUUUCCUGGUCUGAUACUGACGCUGAGGCGCGAAAGCGUGGGGAGC
rnacentral:rRNA from 1 species